AUGCCAGGAACAACACAGUUUCUGUGCUUGGCCGUAGCUCUUCUGGUCAUGUCGGCCUCCCUGUCAUGCAAUGCCAAGCACACGUACCGUGAAUCUAUGUGGGAAUCCAAGAGACAGGUGCAUGAUUUUGGCGGGCACAACUGCCAAAACACCUGUGUAAGAAAAAGCACAGAUACUGACAUAUACUGUGAAUAUAUGUGGGAAUGCAACAAACCGGUGCAUGAUCAUGACCAGCACAAGUGCCGAAACUUCUGCGUAAGCAAAGGCUACGACUACCUCGGGAGCUAUUGUGAGCACCACCCCUACCCGUAUUGCUGUUGCCAUAAGUAA
rnacentral:rRNA from 1 species